CAUCUUCUUCCAUCAGCCCAGCUCCAAAAUGUGGAGCUCAUCUUCCAAAUUGAAUAUGUCGGGGGAUUUCUCACAGAAAAACAGUGCAAGGGCAGAAAGCAGUUCCUUGCCUUCUCAACCCUCAAACACCCUAACACCUGCACAAACAGUGCUGGGCUGAGCUGUUUUCCUUCACAAAGUAAAGGCAGUCUUUCUCUUUUUGCAGCCCAUCCGCAAAAUUUGGAUUCCAGCGCCAGAAAUUAGUAGGUCUAAAGACUGCUUUUGCUCAACAGUGUAAGGUGGUCAGACAGCAGCGAAUGUCAGAGAGCAGAUGUGCCUUCAGCAGCCCCACAGAGACCUCAGCACAGUCCAAGAACAUGCCAGACUAGCAUAGAACCUCACCUUUCAAUACUCCUGUUGCUACAACACAUCACAUCACUCUGAUGAAGGUAAGCUUGUGCUCAAGCACUGCACUGAAUCACCACUUGGCACUGUGAGGAAGAGCCCUCUUCAUCUCAAAUGUACCAUUUGUAUUAAUGCCCUUCUUUCCACCAUGACACACCAAGCACAGGGCUGCUGUGAGCAGCAGCAUCACACUCUGCUGUGUUUGGAGAGUAACUUACAAAGCUAUCACAACCCUGCAGUACUUUUCUGUCAGUGGUGCCCAGCAUCAUCCUGAGGGCCUCUCUGCUCCUCUCUGGAGUAAAUACACAGAAAGAUUGUCCAAAGUCCAAAGGUUUGAGGCUAGGAAAUGGUUACUCAGUGUUCAAAAACAGGGCAUUGCCUCUCAAUUUGAACAUAAGCCUAUACAGCAUUCUCAAACAACAGAAGCACUUUGGGGAGCAGAAAUAUUUGUUAACCUUAGGAGGUUGAGCCUGGGAAGUUACAACAGUAAAAAAUCAACCACAGCUGGGAGAUACAAACUCCAGAUGUCAGGCAGGCUCCACGGGGACCAUCUGCAUGUAGCAUUCAAGGGAAAGGGAUUUUAUGUCACUGCUGAACCAUAGAUAAGGGUGGUGUACCUGAUUUCCUGAUUUCCUCCAACCUGACGUGUGAAAAACAUUUCCUGCUUCUGUUGGUUGAUGUGUUCUGGGGGAGUGUUCCAGGGGCCUGCACAAUCCCUUUGCAGGUUAUCCUUCUCGAGUCCCAAAAUACCACUCAAACCUACUCCAACUAGCUCAGUGAAGUAAAAAAAUAGCCAUUUCUUCAGAUCAACAUGAACUUUCUUACAUCUUCUUGCUCAGCUCUGCAGUAGUGGGGAAGUUGUUCCAAGGCAGAAAACCACACUGGAAGCAGCCAAGGGUGAGGAAAGCACAGAGCCUGCACAAAUCCCCAGGUGGCCAACAUGGCCCAAAACCAAGAGAGCUGGGGCCCAAGGCUGAGCAAGUUUUCUCUGAAGGAAACAAAGGCUUUGGCAAGAGUUUGUGGUUGUUACUUCAGGAGGCAGAAAGACCUCCAGGAAAUGAACCAUCUACAGAUCAGCAUUAAAGUCAGAUUAUUUUCUGCA